AGGCGCGCAUUCUAAGGGCCCGGCCGCCGGGCCUGUUCGCAAUCGACCUGGAUGAUCUCGC
rnacentral:tRNA from 1 species